rnacentral:lncRNA from 1 species
GGGCCUCCUGUUCUUUGUCACUUAAACAGCCACUCAAGACAAUAAUAUGGUUUAUGGAGCACCUCCUCAAUGCCAGGCACUGUGGGCCACUUAAUGCUAUUAGCUUUAUUCCAUACAGCAACCUGCAAGGUGGGUCCAGAGGGGCUAAGGGACUUGCCUGAGUCACAUGGCAGGCUUUCAUUGACUGCAACAGGCAGACGUGAAGGGACCACCCAGUGCAUUUUCCAUCUGGUUCCAUUGGUCAGGAAGUCAGCGGACCUCCCCCCAGGAUUGUGGCCACAGGUAUAAUUUGCCACUUCUUCAGGAAGUGAGGACUAAACUAGGAAGGCCUUAGAGAACUUGUGGAGAGCUUGAAGGUAAGCCACAAAAAUGGUUUGGGCAUGAUGGGGAGAGAAG